UACACCUAGAGAUAUAUUUGAGCAACAAGCAACUACUGGAAGAGUCACACAAAUCCAGGAUGUUACAUGGUGAUGACACAGUUGUGAAAUUUGUAGACGUUAACAGAGUUGAAAAGUCCGAUAAUGCAUGUCAUCAUGGACAUGUGGAUCCAACCAUAAAUAAUAAGGAAGCAAUGAAUGCCAUCAAUAACAUGUUUAAAGCACCUCUAGAGACUGCUCCAAUUAUUAGGAGGUCAUAGAGAAGUCGAUCAAAAGAACAUAACUUGAACAGUGGAUUCAAUGUCUUUGUUGAUGAAAACUUGAAUAAUAGAACUGACUCAUCAAGUCAAAGAGAAGAAGAUGUUUCAUUGAUUAAGCGUCAUACAGCUCAAACAUAUUACAAAUAACCCAAAAGCAUUCUAAUUUAACUGGAAUUAGAAUCAAUUUCACGUCGAGUAUAAUUUUCAAAAUUAAAAUGAAAUGAGAAUAUAAUUCUGAG
rnacentral:misc_RNA from 1 species